CAGCAGCCGCGGGAACACGUAGGGUGCGAGCGUUAAUCGGAAUUACUGGGCGUAAAGCGUGCGCAGGCGGUUGUGUAAGACAGGUGUGAAAUCCCCGGGCUUAACCUGGGAACUGCGCUUGUGACUGCACAGCUAGAGUAUGGCAGAGGGGGGUGGAAUUCCACGUGUAGCAGUGAAAUGCGUAGAGAUGUGGAGGAACACCGAUGGCGAAGGCAGCCCCCUGGGCCAAUACUGACGCUCAUGCACGAAAGCGUGGGGAGCAAACAGGAUUAGAUACCCCGGUAGUCCCUGUCUCUUAUAC
rnacentral:rRNA from 1 species